rnacentral:lncRNA from 1 species
UGCUGCCACACAGAGGCAGAGUUGAGGCUGCUUCUAAAGGGAAGGAGUGAAGGAAGAAAAUCUUUUUUGGUUAGAAAUUACCUGGAUUUCCUGCUGGGGACACCCCAUCACCCUUCAAGGCUUUUUCCUUGUCCAAGAACUCAUAUUUUUGGUUGUUUUCCUAAGAGCUGCUGGGUUUGAUACAGGAUGAAGGAUGAUGAAAUAAGAGAGGCUUGUGAAAACAAGAAAUCAUCUUUUCUCGAUGAUGUCUGUGCCUCAUAAACUCAGAUGCUGCAGCAUCUUUUUAUGUCCUGAGGAUGAGCUGAACACUAAACCAGAUGAACAAGCUGCAGGAGCCCAGCACUUGCCCACCUGGGGCUGACCUUUUGAAGGACCACUUGAGGAGAGUGGAGGCUUGGCCAGGUGAUGAUUCCAAGCUCUGCAGUCCCUGGAUCAGCAAACCCCCGCCCCCGGGCACAGAUGGAGCUGCGGCAUCCGCCAAGGAGGAUCGGGAGAGGAAAGGAGCUGGGAAUUCGCUUCUCCUGCCUGCAGGUCCCUCUGGAAAAGCGGGAUGCUCUGAUGGACGGUGUUUGCAGCACGGCAGGAUGUGAAUCCUCCUGUGCUCCCCACCUCUCUGCUCCAUCCCGUUCCUUCCCCGGCCCUGACCGCAUCCCUCCAGAGCCUCCUCGGCGUUUCCAAGCCAACAGCUCAAGCCCAAGUGCCACCAGAGGUGACUUGGAGCAGGGUCACUUGCUGCCUUGGUGCUCUCUGCUGGGGACACUCCCAGCCCGGGCUCAUCACUUGGAGAUAAACACGAAACCGCUCUGAGAGCUGGAGCCCCUCUGCUCUGGAGCCAGGCUGGGAGAGCUGGCAAUGCUCACCUGGAGAAGGUGAGCAAUAUCCAACACACCGUGGCCACUCCUGUGUUCCUCAAUGGACCCCAUUCCCAGCAUCCUGCCCAAAAUCCCUUCCCUUGUUCAGCCUCACAGCAGCAGCUGCUGCUCGUUUUGGUGCCCACUGCAGAUGGGAUCAUUCGAUCUCCAGAUUUCUCCGUGCAGCCAAGUUGGAGCUUGCAAUUUCCUUUCAGCUGCAUUAAGUUCCUGCAUAAUUUUCAAUUCACUCUUCUUUUGUGGGGGAUGAAUAGAGAAGGGUGAUCUCUUUCAAAGAAGAUUUAUUAAAAUGCAAAUAAACUUCAAGCUGAAGGUCCA